rfam:Pontibacillus yanchengensis Y32 contig41, whole genome shotgun sequence.
UUCAAUGGAAGUUCAAUUAAAACCGCUGCGUCAUACAGCAACAUAGAACCAACCCACAUCGUGUGGG